UGGGGAAUUUUGGACAAUGGGCGAAAGCCUGAUCCAGCAAUGCCGCGUGUGUGAAGAAGGCCUUCGGGUUGUAAAGCACUUUUGUCCGGAAAGAAAUCCUUGGCUCUAAUACAGUCGGGGGAUGACGGUACCGGAAGAAUAAGCACCGGCUAACUACGUGCCAGCAGCCGCGGUAAUACGUAGGGUGCAAGCGUUAAUCGGAAUUACUGGGCGUAAAGCGUGCGCAGGCGGUUUGCUAAGACCGAUGUGAAAUCCCCGGGCUCAACCUGGGAACUGCAUUGGUGACUGGCAGGCUAGAGUAUGGCAGAGGGGGGUAGAAUUCCACGUGUAGCAGUGAAAUGCGUAGAGAUGUGGAGGAAUACCGAUGGCGAAGGCAGCCCCCUGGGGCCAAAUACUGACGCUCAUGCACGAAAGCGUGGGGAGCAAACAGGAUUAGAUACCCUGGUAGUCCACGCCCUAAAACGAUGUCAACUAGUUGUUGGGGAUUCAUUUCCUUAGUAACGUAGCUAACGCGUGAAGUUGACCGCCUGGGGAGUACGGUCGCAAGAUUAAAACUCAAAUGAAUUGACGGGGUCAUAGCUGUUUCCU
rnacentral:rRNA from 1 species